rnacentral:rRNA from 1 species
AACGAACGCUGGCGGCAGGCCUAACACAUGCAAGUCGAGCGAGAUCUUCGGGUCUAGCGGCGGACGGGUGAGUAACGCGUGGGAAUAUGCCUCUUGGUACGGAAUAGCCUCGGGAAACUGGGAGUAAUACCGUAUGUGCCCUUUGGGGGAAAGAUUUAUCGCCAAGAGAUUAGCCCGCGUUGGAUUAGGUAGUUGGUGGGGUAAUGGCCUACCAAGCCGACGAUCCAUAGCUGGUUUGAGAGGAUGAUCAGCCACACUGUGACUGAGACACGGCCCAGACUCCUACGGGAGGCAGCAGUGGGGAAUCUUAGACAAUGGGGGCAACCCUGAUCUAGCCAUGCCGCGUGAGUGAUGAAGGCCUUAGGGUUGUAAAGCUCUUUCAGCUGGGAAGAUAAUGACGGUACCAGCAGAAGAAGCCCCGGCUAACUCCGUG